UAGUCCCAGCCGUAAACGAUGGACACUAGGUGUGGGGGGAUCAUCCUUCCGUGCCGCAGCCAACGCAUUAAGUGUCCCGCCUGGGGAGUACGGCCGCAAGGCUAAAACUCAAAGGAAUUGACGGGGGCCCGCACAAGCAGCGGAGCAUGUGGCUUAAUUCGAAGCAACGCGAAGAACCUUACCAGGGCUUGACAUGUAGGUGAAGCGGCGGAAACGUCGUUGCCGAAAGGAGCCUACAC
rnacentral:rRNA from 1 species